rnacentral:rRNA from 1 species
UUUUGUAGAAUGAACCGGCGAGUUACGAUUUGAUGCAAGGUUAAGCAGUAAAUGUGGAGCCGUAGCGAAAGCGAGUCUGAAUAGGGCGUUUAGUAUUUGGUCGUAGACCCGAAACCAGGUGAUCUACCCUUGGUCAGGUUGAAGUUCAGGUAACACUGAAUGGAGGACCGAACCGACUUACGUUGAAAAGUGAGCGGAUGAACUGAGGGUAGCGGAGAAAUUCCAAUCGAACCUGGAGAUAGCUGGUUCUCUCCGAAAUAGCUUUAGGGCUAGCCUCAAGUGAUGAUUAUUGGAGGUAGAGCACUGUUUGGACGAGGGGCCCCUCUCGGGUUACCGAAUUCAGACAAACUCCGAAUGCCAAUUAAUUUAACUUGGGAGUCAGAACAUGGGUGAUAAGGUCCGUGUUCGAAAGGGAAACAGCCCAGACCACCAGCUAAGGUCCCAAAAUAUAUGUUAAGUGGAAAAGGAUGUGGCGUUGCCCAGACAACUAGGAUGUUGGCUUAGAAGCAGCCAUCAUUUAAAGAGUGCGUAAUAGCUCACUAGUCGAGUGACACUGCGCCGAAAAUGUACCGGGGCUAAACAUAUUACCGAAGCUGUGGAUUGUCCUUUGGACAAUGGUAGGAGAGCGUU